rnacentral:misc_RNA from 1 species
GAACGCACCUUGCGCCCUUUGGCUAUUCUGAAGGGCAUGCCUGUUUGAGUAUCAUGAACACCUCAACUCUCAUGGUCCAUCCAUGAUGAGCUUGGACUUUGGGGGUCUUGCUGGCCUAGCGUCGGCUCCUCUCAAAUGGAUCAGCUUGCCAGUGUCUGGUGGCAUCACGGGUGUGAUAACUAUCUACGCUUGUGGUUUCCUGCCAUAUAACCUUCAGUGAUGGAGGUUCGCUGGAGCUCACAGAUGUCUCUCCUCGGUGAGGACAGCUUUUUGAACGUUUGAUCUCAAAUCAGGUAGGACUACCCGCUGAACUUA